rnacentral:rRNA from 1 species
AGAGUUUGAUCCUGGCUCAGAACGAACGCUGGCGGCGUGGAUAAGACAUGCAAGUCGAACGAGAGAAUUGCUAGCUUGCUAAUAAUUCUCUAGUGGCGCACGGGUGAGUAACACGUGAGUAACCUGCCCCCGAGAGCGGGAUAGCCCUGGGAAACUGGGAUUAAUACCGCAUAGUAUCGAAAGAUUAAAGCAGCAAUGCGCUUGGGGAUGGGCUCGCGGCCUAUUAGUUAGUUGGUGAGGUAACGGCUCACCAAGGCGAUGACGGGUAGCCGGUCUGAGAGGAUGUCCGGCCACACUGGAACUGAGACACGGUCCAGACACCUACGGGUGGCAGCAGUCGAGAAUCAUUCACAAUGGGGGAAACCCUGAUGGUGUGACGCCGCGUGGGGGAAUGAAGGUCUUCGGAUUGUAAACCCCUGUCAUGUGGGAGCAAAUUAAAAAGAUAGUACCACAAGAGGAAGAGACGGCUAACUCUGUGCCAGCAGCCGCGGUAAUACAGAGGUCUCAAGCGUUGUUCGGAAUCAUUGGGCGUAAAGCGUGCGUAGGCUGUUUCGUAAGUCGUGUGUGAAAGGCGCGGGCUCAACCCGCGGACGGCACAUGAUACUGCGAGACUAGAGUAAUGGAGGGGGAACCGGAAUUCUCGGUGUAGCAGUGAAAUGCGUAGAUAUCGAGAGGAACACUCGUGGCGAAGGCGGGUUCCUGGACAUUAACUGACGCUGAGGCACGAAGGCCAGGGGAACGAAAGGGAUUAGAUACCCCUGUAGUCCUGGCAGUAAACGGUGCACGCUUGGUGUGCGGGGAAUCGACCCCCUGCGUGCCGGAGCUAACGCGUUAAGCGUGCCGCCUGGGGAGUACGGUCGCAAGAUUAAAACUCAAAGAAAUUGACGGGGACCCGCACAAGCGGUGGAGUAUGUGGCUUAAUUCGAUGCAACGCGAAGAACCUUACCUGGGCUUGACAUGUAAUGAACAACAUGUGAAAGCAUGCGACUCUUCGGAGGCGUUACACAGGUGCUGCAUGGCCGUCGUCAGCUCGUGUCGUGAGAUGUUUGGUUAAGUCCAGCAACGAGCGCAACCCCUGUUGCCAGUUACCAGCACGUGAAGGUGGGGACUCUGGCGAGACUGCCCAGAUCAACUGGGAGGAGGGUGGGGACGACGUCAGGUCAGUAUGGCCCUUAUGAUUUGGGCUACACACGUGCUACAAUGGCGUAAACAAAGGGAAGCGAACCCGCGAGGGUGGGCAAAUCCCAAAAAUAACGUCCCAGUUCGGACUGUAGUCUGCAACCCGCCUACACGAAGCCGGAAUCGCUAGUAAUGGCGCAUCAGCUACGGCGCCGUGAAUACGUUCCCGGGUCUUGCACUCACCGCCCGUCA